rnacentral:snoRNA from 1 species
CCUGGCCCGUGAUGACUCCGUUUUUGGAGACGGUCGGAUGAAUCCUGCGGAUAUGGGGCUGAGGCCAGGC